GAUGAACGCUGGCGGCGUGCCUAAUACAUGCAAGUCGAGCGAACGGACGAGAAGCUUGCUUCUCUGAUGUUAGCGGCGGACGGGUGAGUAACACGUGGAUAACCUACCUAUAAGACUGGGAUAACUUCGGGAAACCGGAGCUAAUACCGGAUAAUAUUUUGAACCGCAUGGUUCAAAAGUGAAAGACGGUCUUGCUGUCACUUAUAGAUGGAUCCGCGCUGCAUUAGCUAGUUGGUAAGGUAACGGCUUACCAAGGCAACGAUGCAUAGCCGACCUGAGAGGGUGAUCGGCCACACUGGAACUGAGACACGGUCCAGACUCCUACGGGAGGCAGCAGUAGGGAAUCUUCCGCAAUGGGCGAAAGCCUGACGGAGCAACGCCGCGUGAGUGAUGAAGGUCUUCGGAUCGUAAAACUCUGUUAUUAGGGAAGAACAUAUGUGUAAGUAACUGUGCACAUCUUGACGGUACCUAAUCAGAAAGCCACGGCUAACUACGUGCCAGCAGCCGCGGUAAUACGUAGGUGGCAAGCGUUAUCCGGAAUUAUUGGGCGUAAAGCGCGCGUAGGCGGUUUUUUAAGUCUGAUGUGAAAGCCCACGGCUCAACCGUGGAGGGUCAUUGGAAACUGGAAAACUUGAGUGCAGAAGAGGAAAGUGGAAUUCCAUGUGUAGCGGUGAAAUGCGCAGAGAUAUGGAGGAACACCAGUGGCGAAGGCGACUUUCUGGUCUGUAACUGACGCUGAUGUGCGAAAGCGUGGGGAUCAAACAGGAUUAGAUACCCUGGUAGUCCACGCCGUAAACGAUGAGUGCUAAGUGUUAGGGGGUUUCCGCCCCUUAGUGCUGCAGCUAACGCAUUAAGCACUCCGCCUGGGGAGUACGACCGCAAGGUUGAAACUCAAAGGAAUUGACGGGGACCCGCACAAGCGGUGGAGCAUGUGGUUUAAUUCGAAGCGACGCGAAGAACCUUACCAAAUCUUGACAUCCUUUGACAACUCUAGAGAUAGAGCCUUCCCCUUCGGGGGACAAAGUGACAGGUGGUGCAUGGUUGUCGUCAGCUCGUGUCGUGAGAUGUUGGGUUAAGUCCCGCAACGAGCGCAACCCUUAAGCUUAGUUGCCAUCAUUAAGUUGGGCACUCUAAGUUGACUGCCGGUGACAAACCGGAGGAAGGUGGGGAUGACGUCAAAUCAUCAUGCCCCUUAUGAUUUGGGCUACACACGUGCUACAAUGGACAAUACAAAGGGCAGCGAAACCGCGAGGUCAAGCAAAUCCCAUAAAGUUGUUCUCAGUUCGGAUUGUAGUCUGCAACUCGACUACAUGAAGCUGGAAUCGCUAGUAAUCGUAGAUCAGCAUGCUACGGUGGAUACGUUCCCGGGUCU
rnacentral:rRNA from 1 species